rnacentral:snRNA from 1 species
AUCACUUCUCAACCUUUUGGCUAAAAUCAAGUGUAGUAACUUGUUAUCAGCAUAAUACUCUCCACAUAACAAAUGGACACUGGGAGAUGGAACAGGAGUUUACUCCAUCCACUCCAUGCACAGAACUGGCAUUGCUGUACUUCAAAAACAGUGCUCUGGGC